rnacentral:snRNA from 1 species
GUGCUCGCUUCAGCAGCACAUAUACCAAAAUUGGAACGAUACAGAGAUUACCACGGCCCCUGCGCAAGGAUGACAUGCAGAAAUAAGCCCUUUAA